rnacentral:rRNA from 1 species
GACGAACGCUGGCGGCGUGCUUAACACAUGCAAGUCGAACGGAAAGGCCCUGCUUUUGUGGGGUGCUCGAGUGGCGAACGGGUGAGUAACACGUGAGUAACCUUCCCUUGACUUUGGGAUAACUUCAGGAAACUUGGGCUAAUACCGGAUAGGAGCUCCUGCUGCAUGGUGGGGGUUGGAAAGUUUCGGCGGUUGGGGAUGGACUCGCGGCUUAUCAGCUUGCUGGUGGGGUAGUGGCUUACCAAGGCUUUGACGGGUAGCCGGCCUGAGAGGGUGACCGGCCACAUUGGGACUGAGAUACGGCCCAGACUCCUACGGGAGGCAGCAGUGGGGAAUAUUGCACAAUGGGCGGAAGCCUGAUGCAGCAACGCCGCGUGCGGGAUGACGGCCUUCGGGUUGUAAACCGCUUUCGCCUGUGACGAAGCGUGAGUGACGGUAAUGGGUAAAGAAGCACCGGCUAACUACGUG